UAAUACGUAGGGGGCAAGCGUUGUCCGGAUUUACUGGGCGUAAAGCGCGCGUAGGCGGAGUGAGAAGUCCGGUGUGAAAGCCCCCGGCUCAACCGGGGAAGGUCGCUGGAAACUCUCACUCUUGAGGCGGAUAGAGGGAAGUGGAAUUGCUGGUGUAGCGGUGAAAUGCGUAGAUAUCAGCAGGAACACCCGUGGCGAAGGCGGCUUCCUGGAUCCGACCUGACGCUGAGGCGCGAAAGCGUGGGGAGCGAACGGGAUUAGAUACCCCGGUAGUCCACGCCGUAAACGAUGGUCACUAGGUGUAUGGGGUAUCGACCCCCCAUGUGCCGCAGCUAACGCAAUAAGUGACCCGCCUGGGGAGUACGGCCGCAAGGUUG
rnacentral:rRNA from 1 species